rnacentral:lncRNA from 1 species
AAACCCUAGAUUGCUGUUCUCCAAUGAAAUGCAGGCAUGACCUCUUGGGCAGUCAGAUGGGUGGCCUUCUCUGGAAGCACAGUCACUGGUCAUCUAGCAGCAGACCUGCCGUGGAACUUUCUCCAGGUGUCCACUGGGAUGACACUGAGUGAGAAGGAUGUAGCAUCAGAAUAAAAGUGAUAGAACCAGGAAAUGUUGAAAGAGGAGACUUGACCGGUGAGGGAAUAUAGAGGAAGUUGUAUUUUCCUUCAUCAAAUUGAUGCCAUUCCCGUCACUGUGUAUGCCAGUCACGUGUUCUUAGGUGGGAAGACCCACCAGCCAUUUAGGAGAGACGCCACCUAACCUAGACCAAUCAGGUAAUAUGGGCCCCAGCCUUAGUGAUGGGUCAGGAGAAGGGUUCGUGUCUUGAGAUGAUCCACGCACAGUGAAGUUGAACAUGUUUUUAUAAUAGCUAUGAGAAGAGACAUAUAGUUUCCCCCAGAUGUGAAGCUUGAAGCCCUGUUACUACUGAUAGCCUCUGUCUUGGGACAAAGGCAGCACAUGUGGGUGGCAGGAGGAAUUGCAGGGAAACAGCUGGAGCUCUUAUGGCCUCCAGCAGACAGGGCAGGAAGCCUGCAGACCUCCAGACUGCUCAAUCACUCAGCCGAUAAAGCUCCCUUCUGAUCUAAGAUAGUUGUUACUUUUUUGUUUCUUCCGAUUGAAAAGAUUGUAGUGAUACAGAAAUGCUAGGUCAUGCUGGCCUAAGGAGGAGAGAUUAUCUGAAGAAAAAUAAUGGUAAGGAGAGAGAGUCACCAGGAUGGAAAAGACCAGCGAGCAGAAGUCACAGAAAAACAGACGGGAUCUAUAUGUGAAAGGGAAGCGAAAAUGGUGAGAAUACUCUGUGGGGCUGGUUUUGCUGUCCCUUGUAAAUAACUGAAGUUCAGACCAGUUAAUUUUUGAAUCCAAUGUAAAGCAUUGAUUAAGUGAUGAAGGCAGGAACUGAGCCCAGAUCUGGCCAAUUCCAUGCUUUUUCUACUAAACAUUUGCCUCGUUACCAUUCACAGACAGCCCAGUGCCCAGCUGUAAGGGAAGAUGUAGAUGCUACUUCUGCAAUAGGUGGGUUUACAAAUUAGAUAUUCUGGAAGGACACGCUCUUUCACAGCCAACAUUCAAUGUGCGUAACCAGAAACAAAGAAAGUUGAAAUUCAGCUGUUUAGGGGACUGGUUCAGGUGGGCAUUGGGAACUUUGUACAUGUGUGCAAACAUGGGUGUAUAAACACCUUCCUAAGGAUGACUGUAAGGCACAAGCAUUAGACCUAAGGCAGCACAGAGUUGAUAAAUACUUCAGUGGGGGAAGAAGUCCCAGGAUUUUGUAUUCUUCUAUCAUUGAAUAUUCUAGAGCUGGGUGGACUCCUUUACAUCAACCAUUCAGUGGGACAGAAUAUUUUGGAUAUUGAUUUAAUUCUGGAAAUAGAUGAUAGCAUGUCAUCUGCAGCCCCAGCAUCUGGGCAGCAGGUGUUCUGUAAAGUGCUUGCCAAGUGAAGACACAAGGGAAUUCUUGUGAGAAAAUCAUUCACUCUGCUGACUUCCACCUGUAGCGGGGUUCACUCUAGGGACUAAAAGUCAAAUGCAUUUUUCCAGGAAAAAAGAACUUUAUUGCAUGUUUCUGUUGUACUAUCAUUUUUGACAUACAAUCCUUGAUUUAGAUGGACUCAUUAUGGAGGAUUGAGAAAUUUCAGUUGGUGGGUUAUUCAUGAGUCAAGGAUCACAGAGACAUAUGGAUGGUGACUGAAUUCUGUAGGGGUUCAGCUACAUAAACUUGAGUUAUUUGUAUGUAUGAUUAAAGGGAAGGAAAAGGAACCAAGAGUAAUUUAGCAUUUUUAGUGUGCCAGUCACAGUGCAAGAGGAUUUAUAACCAUUACCUCAUUUUGUCCUCACAAUAAUCUCAUGAAGAAAGCAAUGUCGCUGCCAUUUUCUAGACAAGGAAAACGGGCUUUUGAGAGGACAAAUAACACAGCUGAAGAAACGACAUGUUGGAUUUAAUCCCAUGUUUCUGGUUUCAAAGCUACUGCUUAUCCCUCUUAUGUUAGAGAAAUCUAAGGUUUAUGUCUGGUUCCUG